UUGAAAUGAUGAUCCUUUUCUUUUAUAACAGAAGAGAAUUACUGUUGACUUUAAAACGAGCUUUUUAAUACUGAACAAC